AAAGCUUCCAUAAAUAUUCAAUCACUGUCAUUGUUUAUUGGGUUUGGUAGUGACAGGCAGACUGAAUGCCCAUGAUGUCUUUUCUGGUUUCA